UCUUAGCUUGCUAAGGCCGAUGGCGACCGGCGCACGGGUGAGUAACGCGUAUCCAACCUGCCUUACACUCUUGGACAGCCUUCUGAAAGGGAGAUUAAUACAAGAUGGCAUCAUGAGUCCGCAUGUUCACAUGAUUAAAGGUAUUCCGGUAGACGAUGGGGAUGCGUUCCAUUAGAUAGUAGGCGGGGUAACGGCCCACCAAGCCGACGAUCGGUAGCCGACCUGAGAGGGUGAUCGGCCACAUUGGGACUGAGACACGGCCCAAACUCC
rnacentral:rRNA from 1 species